GCCCCCGUGGCGCAAUGGAUAGCGCGCUUGACUCCUAAUCAAGAGGUUGCGAGUUCGAAUCUCGCCGGGGGUG
rfam:Giardia lamblia ATCC 50803 SC_624 genomic scaffold, whole genome shotgun sequence.